rnacentral:rRNA from 1 species
GAUGAACGCUGGCGGCGUGCCUAAUACAUGCAAGUCGAGCGAACGGACGAGAAGCUUGCUUCUCUGAUGUUAGCGGCGGACGGAUGAGUAACACGUGGAUAACCUACCUAUAAGACUGGGAUAACUUCGGGAAACCGGAGCUAAUACCGGAUAAUAUUUUGAACCGCAUGGUUCAAAAGUGAAAGACGGUCUUGCUGUCACUUAUAGAUGGAUCCGCGCUGCAUUAGCUAGUUGGUAAGGUAACGGCUUACCAAGGCAACGAUGCAUAGCCGACCUGAGAGGGUGAUCGGCCACACUGGAACUGAGACACGGUCCAGACUCCUACGGGAGGCAGCAGUAGGGAAUCUUCCGCAAUGGGCGAAAGCCUGACGGAGCAACGCCGCGUGAGUGAUGAAGGUCUUCGGAUCGUAAAACUCUGUUAUUAGGGAAGAACAUAUGUGUAAGUAACUGUGCACAUCUUGACGGUACCUAAUCAGAAAGCCACGGCUAACUACGU